rnacentral:rRNA from 1 species
CCAGACUCCUACGGGAGGCAGCAGUGGGGGAUAUUGGACAAUGGGGGAAACCCUGAUCCAGCGGCGCCGCGUGAGUGAAGAAGUAUUUCGGUAUGUAAAGCUCUGUCAGCAGGGAAGAAAGAAAUGACGGUACCUGACCAAGAAGCCCCGGCUAACUGCGUGCCAGCAGCCGCGGUAAUACGUAGGGGGCAAGCGUUAUCCGGAAUUACUGGGUGUAAAGGGAGCGUAGACGGUGAUGCAAGUCUGGAGUGAAAGGCGGGGGCCCAACCCCCGGACUGCUUUGGAAACUGUAUGGCUGGAGUGCAGGAGAGGUAAGUGGAAUUCCUAGUGUAGCGGUGAAAUGCGUAGAUAUUAGGAGGAACACCAGUGGCGAAGGCGGCUUACUGGACUGUAACUGACGUUGAGGCUCGAAAGCGUGGGGAGCAAACAGGAUUAGAUACCCGUGUAA